CAUUAAGCCACAAUCGGUGCACAUUCAAAGCAGUGAUCAGUAAUUUUACGAAACCAGUAUGCUUUUGAAUCUCUCUAACAAUUCACAAUAAUGACUUGUAUUACUUUUAUUCCUACAUCAGUUCAUCUAAUUGUAAAUAUGUAUCGUUACUCUUCAUAAAACCCUUUACUUGUUUGAUUUUCAAUGUGUUUUGUCGCUUAGUUUUCCUGUUG